rnacentral:lncRNA from 1 species
UGGCAAAGCCUACCUGUUUUUUGAACCUAGCUAAAGGAAUGGCAAUUUUUUAACAGAUAGCCAUAUCCUGUCACAGUGGAGGACCCACAACCUUGAGAUUAGACCAGCUGGGGACAAUGUGGCGAGAUAAUGAAGGAUGGGCUCGAUUUAGUGACCUGAAAAAUAAUGAACUUUAAUACGAAAAAGACAAAGAGACAAUCCAAAUAGCAUAAAAGGUGCACCAAAAAACAAGGGUCAAGGGGAUACAGUAACUUGUAUAAACCAAUAGGUUGGGAUGGAAUCUGAGGGUAAGGAUCCAACAGGAAAGGGUGAUUACAAAUAUGUAAAACAUUGCACCAAACAUGAACCAACAAUAGCAGGGGAAACAAAGAACUUUCUGGUAAUGUUUACAUAAAAUUGAACAGGGGGCACUGUGGAUAAUAGUCUGCUCUCCAUAAGUAUGACAGAUUUUCCCACAGGCUUCUGCCUGAGUUCCUAUCAACCCCAACAAUAUUCUGAUUCAUCUACUGUAUUCUAACUCUGGGGAAGCCUGGCUCCGCUAUAGUCCUGAAUGAAAACACUAUAAGGUUAUCCCAUCAUCAGCUGGGGAAACUUCAGUAAAAAUAAGUAUUCCCUCACAGGUUCUCGUGGGUCCCAUCUCCAUGUGCCUUCAGUCUCUGCUCCUGGAGACUCUUGUGAGCCGUUCAGCCUUUUACCUUUCAGUGAGAUGUUAAAAAAAGAAGAAAGCAGAGAAAUAUUAACAACAAAUGUUAUACUCUCUGGAUAACAGGAGAGGCCACAAACAGAACACGUACUCCAAGCCACUAGGUUAUGUUCACAUUCCUGAAAUGAUCUUUCCUUUGGAAAUCUUUGAUGCUGCCAUGUUGGCUGUGAUAGAUACUUUGUUAAUAAACCUCAAACACUUGUCUGUGCUAAAACAGCUGGUACAAGACCCUAUGGCCUUUAGGAGUGUGUCUAAUCCUUAUUAACACAGGCAAUCUCCUUGAAAAUGCACGGUUGAAGACUCCUUGAAAGAAGAGUUCAGAGGCGCAGACAUUCCCACUUCUUUAUGAACAGAUACUCAGAUUAAUAUCAAAUAAAUUAACGUAAAAGAUGGAACA